GAGCGUGAAGCACCUUCAGGUGUGAAUUAGCGGCGAACGGGUGAGGAACACGUGAGAAAUCUGCCUUCAACACUGGGAUAACUCCGGGAAACCGGGGCUAAUACCGGAUAUGAAAUCUGCGGGCAUCCGCGGAUUUGGAAAGUUUUUCGGUUGAAGAUGAUCUCGCGGCCUAUCAGCUUGUUGGUGAGGUAAUGGCUCACCAAGGCGACGACGGGUAGCCGGCCUGAGAGGGCGACCGGCCACACUGGGACUGAGACACGGCCCAGACUCCUACGGGAGGCAGCAGUGGGGAAUAUUGGGCAAUGGAGGAAACUCUGACCCAGCGACGCCGCGUGCGGGAUGAAGGCCUUCGGGUUGUAAACCGCUUUCAGCAGGGAAGAAGCGAAAGUGACGGUACCUGCAGAAGAAGCACCGGCUAACUAUGUGCCAGCAGCCGCGGUAAUACAUAGGGUGCAAGCGUUGUCCGGAAUUAUUGGGCGUAAAGAGCUCGUAGGUGGUUCGUCACGUCGGAUGUGAAACUCUGGGGCUUAACCCCAGACCUGCAUUCGAUACGGGCGAGCUUGAGUAUGGUAGGGGAGUCUGGAAUUCCUGGUGUAGCGGUGGAAUGCGCAGAUAUCAGGGGGAACACCAAUGGCGAAGGCAGGACUCUGGGCCAUUACUGACACUGAGGAGCGAAAGCGUGGGGAGCGAACAGGAUUAAAUACCCUGGUAGUCCACGCCGUA
rnacentral:rRNA from 1 species